rnacentral:rRNA from 1 species
AGUAACGGGUGCUUACCUGCAAGUCGAACGGUGAAGGGACCAGCUUGCUGGUUCUGGAUGAGUGGCGAACGGGUGAGUAACACGUGAGUAACCUGCCCCCUUCUUCUGGAUAACCGCAUGAAAGUGUGGCUAAUACGGGAUAUUCUGGGUCUGUCGCAUGAUGGGCCCGGGAAAGAUGCGCCUUUGGGUGUUUUUGGUGGGGGAUGGGCUCGCGGCCUAUCAGCUUGUUGGUGGGGUGAUGGCCUACCAAGGCGGUGACGGGUAGCCGGCCUGAGAGGGUGGACGGUCACACUGGGACUGAGACACGGCCCAGACUCCUACGGGAGGCAACAUUGGGGAAUAUUGCACAAUGGGCGCAAGCCUGAUGCAGCGACGCCGCGUGAGGGAUGGAGGCCUUCGGGUUGUAAACCUCUUUCGCCAGUGAAGCAGGCCUGCUCCUUGUGGGUGGGUUGACGGUAACUGGAUAAGAAGCGCCGGCUAACUACGUGCCAGCAGCCGCGGUAAUACGUAGGGCGCAAGCGUUGUCCGGAAUUAUUGGGCGUAAAGAGCUCGUACGCGGCUGGUCGCGUCUGUCGUGAAAUCCUCUGGCUUAACUGGGGGCUUGCGGUGGGUACGGGCCGGCUUGAGUGCAGUAGGGGAGACUGGAACUCCUGGUGUAGCGGUGGAAUGCGCAAAUAUCACGAAGAACACCGGUGGCGAAUGCGGGUCUCUGGGCCGUUACUGACGCUGAGGAGCGAAAGCGUGGGGAGCGAACAGGAUUAGAUACCCUGGUAGUCCACGCCGUAAACGUUGGGCACUAGGUGUGGGGGGGCCUUUUCCCGGGUCUUCCUCGCCGUAUCUAACGCAUUAAGUGCCCCGACUGGGGAGUACGUCCGCACGGCUAGAACUCACAGGAAUUGACGG